GAUGCCAGUUCCAUUGUUGAAGCAGUCUCCUCAGCCACAGAGACUAAAUUGCCAUAGGUUUCCCAAGGAAGCUUAAGGUCAUGGAAGCUCUAGGGUAAAAGGCGCAGAAACAUAAUCCACAUCCUUUAAGAGGAUACAGGUGGGAACGGCCCAUUAUAUACAUUCUGGAGUUAUUUGCUAAAUUAUCUUUCCAGGACAGAUUGCCCCCAAAAAGAUGAGGCCACACAGCAUGUCCUGUGGGACAGGAGAAAUACGGAGAAUGCAGCACACUUGCUUCCUACCGAAGCAAAUUGAACUGUCUUGCUUCACCAAUCUCAUCUCACUUCCUUCUUUUGCUUCCAACGAAGAGCCACCUUUAUGUCUUCAACUGCAAGGCUGUUCUCAGGAAGAGCUAUGUGUAAAACUUAAAAAUAAAAUGCAG
rnacentral:lncRNA from 1 species